rnacentral:rRNA from 1 species
ACUCCUGCGGGAGGCAGCAGUGGGGAAUUUUGGACAAUGGGCGAAAGCCUGAUCCAGCCAUGCCGCGUGCAGGAUGAAGGCCUUCGGGUUGUAAACUGCUUUUGUACGGAACGAAACGGCCUUUUCUAAUAAAGAGGGCUAAUGACGGUACCGUAAGAAUAAGCACCGGCUAACUACGUGCCAGCAGCCGCGGUAAUACGUAGGGUGCAAGCGUUAAUCGGAAUUACUGGGCGUAAAGCGUGCGCAGGCGGUUAUGUAAGACAGUUGUGAAAUCCCCGGGCUCAACCUGGGAACUGCAUCUGUGACUGCAUAGCUAGAGUACGGUAGAGGGGGAUGGAAUUCCGCGUGUAGCAGUGAAAUGCGUAGAUAUGCGGAGGAACACCGAUGGCGAAGGCAAUCCCCUGGACCUGUACUGACGCUCAUGCACGAAAGCGUGGGGAGCAAACAGGAUUAGAAACCCUUGUAGUCCCAUG